rnacentral:rRNA from 1 species
GACGAACGCUGGCGGCGUGCUUAACACAUGUAAGUCGAACGGAAAGGCCCUGCUUGCAGGGUACUCGAGUGGCGAACGGGUGAGUAACACGUGGGUGAUCUGCCCUGCACUUCGGGAUAAGCCUGGGAAACUGGGUCUAAUACCGGAUAGGAGCCAUUUUUAGUGUGAUGGUUGGAAAGUUUUUUCGGUGUAGGAUGAGCUCGCGGCCUAUCAGCUUGUUGGUGGGGUAAUGGCCUACCAAGGCGGCGACGGGUAGCCGGCCUGAGGGGGUGGACGGCCACAUUGGGACUGAGAUACGGCCCAGACUCCUACGGGAGGCAGCAGUGGGGAAUAUUGCACAAUGGGCGCAAGCCUGAUGCAGCGACGCCGCGUGGGGGAUGACGGCCUUCGGGUUGUAAACUCCUUUCGCUAGGGACGAAGCUUUUUGUGACGGUACCUAGAUAAGAAGCACCGGCUAACUACGUG